GAUGAACGCUGGCGGCGUGCCUAAUACAUGCAAGUCGAACGAACAGACGAGGAUCUUCCUCCUCUUACCGUAUCGUCGGACGGGUAAGUAACACGUAGAUAACCUAUCUAUAGGACUCGGAUAACUUCUGGAACCCGGAGCUAAUACCUGAUACUAUAUUGAACCGCAUGGUUCUAUCUUGAAAGACGGUUUUGCUUUCACUUAUAGGUGGAUCGGCGCCGCAUUAGCUAGUUGUUAAGGUAACGGCAUACGAAGGCAACGAUGCGUAGCCGUCCUGAGAGGGUGAUGGGCGACAGCGACAUUGAGACACGGUCCCGACCCAUACGGGUGCGAGCGGCAGGGGAUGUGAAGAAAUGGGAGAAAGCGGGAGGGAGAAACGCCGAGUGAGUGAGGAAGGUGUUGGGAUUGUAAAACUAUGUUAUUAGGGAAGAAGAAAAGUCUAAGUAACUAUGAACGUCUUGACGGUACCUAAUCAGAAAGCAACGGCUAACUACGUG
rnacentral:rRNA from 1 species